rnacentral:rRNA from 1 species
CGCUGGCGGCGUGCCUAAUACAUGCAAGUCGAACGGUCUUUCUAUGGAAGCUUGCUUCCACUGAGAAGAUAGUGGCGAACGGGUGAGUAACACGUGGGUAACCUGCCCAUAAGAGGGGGAUAACAUCCGGAAACGGGUGCUAAUACCGCAUAGUUUUCUUGAUCACAUGAUCGGAAAGGAAAGACGGCCUUUGUCGCUGUCGCUUAUGGAUGGACCCGCGGCGUAUUAGUUAGUUGGUGAGGUAACGGCUCACCAAGACGAUGAUACGUAGCCGACCUGAGAGGGUGAUCGGCCACAUUGGGACUGAGACACGGCCCAAACUCCUACGGGAGGCAGCAGUAGGGAAUCUUCCGCAAUGGACGAAAGUCUGACGGAGCAACGCCGCGUGAGUGAAGAAGGUUUUCGGGAAUCGUAAAACUCUGUUGUCAGAGAAGAACAAGUUGGAGAGUAACUGCUCCAGCCUUGACGGUAUCUGACCAGAAAGCCACGGCUAACUACGUGCCAGCAGCAGC